CCCCUAGAUGUUCUGGGCCGCUCGCGCGCUACACUGAACAGUUCAACAAGUCUUAACCUUGGCCGAUAGGUCUGGGUAAUCUUUGAACGCUGUUCGUGAUUGGGAUAGACCUUUGCAAUUAUGGGUCUUCAACGAGGAAUUCCUAGUAAACGCAAGUCAUCAGCUUGCAUUGAUUACGUCCCUGCCCUUUGUACACACCGCCCGUCGCACCUACCGAUUGAAUGGUCCGGUGAAAUCUCGGGACGGCGGCUUGGUCGCUUGCGUCCGACUGCUGAAACUUGAUUAAACCAUAUCAUUUAGAGGAAGGUGAAGUCGUAACA
rnacentral:rRNA from 1 species